AUCCUGAGGAGUUGGGUAGAGGGUAGAAAAUAAAGAAGAGGAAUUACAGAUCACUUACCUCUUGUUCACUACAGACUCCCAUGACUAAAUCAGACCUAGACCUGCUUGUUGAAACAGACCCUGGCCAUGAAGUGGAGCAACAAUGAACUGCACGUCAGCCCCUGAACUUGACAGGGGCAUAGUUGCAUCUGCUCAUGAAAUCAUCAGGACAGGGAAGGGAGAACCAAGAGAAUGGAAAAGAAACCCUUUAAACUCAGAAGGUUCCAGAAGAAACGCAUGAGAAAGGUGCAGCCCAGCCCCUUUUUCAGGUACUUUGACACAACAUGAAACGUAACUGAGACCUGGAACAAAUGGAUCACUCAGCACUACCUGAAGGAACCAUCUCUGCCUACUACUUCACUUAAGAUGCCCAGCCUCCAGGACCUUGAAAAAAUUCACGGAAGAAAACCACUUUACCACAAUCAGAAUUCAAGAGAAGUGUCUCUAAGUUGUCCAGCUUUGACCUUGGGGCCUGGGUCCCCUUUCUUCCUGCUCCCUCCUCUCAGACCAGAGAAUCUGGAGAUGAAUAGAAACCUGGAGAAAAUGGCCGACUAUAGGAUUCCUGAACUUGAAAAUGCAUGCAUGGAAUUCUGGGUAAAAAGAGAGGGAGGAGGAAAGAGUGCCACACCUUUGGGCACAGAAAGGAUUA